ACCUACGGGGGGCAGCAGUAGGGAAUCUUCCACAAUGGGCGCAAGCCUGAUGGAGCAACGCCGCGUGGGUGAAGAAGGUCUUCGGAUCGUAAACCCUGUUGUUAGAGAAGAAAGUGCGUGAGAGUAACUGUUCACGUUUCGACGGUAUCUAACCAGAAAGCCACGGCUAACUACGUGCCAGCAGCCGCGGUAAUACGUAGGUGGCAAGCGUUAUCCGGAUUUAUUGGGCGUAAAGGGAACGCAGGCGGUCUUUUAAGUCUGAUGUGAAAGCCUUCGGCUUAACCGGAGGAGUGCAUUGGAAACUG
rnacentral:rRNA from 1 species